rnacentral:rRNA from 1 species
GAUGAACGCUGGCGGCGUGCCUAAUACAUGCCAGUCGAGCGAACAGACGAGGAGCUUGCUCCUCUGACGUUAGCGGCGGACGGGUGAGUAACACGUGGAUAACCUACCUAUAAGACUGGGAUAACUUCGGGAAACCGGAGCUAAUACCGGAUAAUAUAUUGAACCGCAUGGUUCAAUAGUGAAAGACGGUUUUGCUGUCACUUAUCGAUGGAUCCGCGCCGCAUUAGCUAGUUGGUAAGGUAACGGCUUACCAAGGCAACGAUGCGUAGCCGACCUGAGAGGGUGAUCGGCCACACUGGAACUGAGACACGGUCCAGACUCCUACGGGAGGCAGCAGUAGGGAAUCUUCCGCAAUGGGCGAAAGCCUGACGGAGCAACGCCGCGUGAGUGAUGAAGGUCUUCGGAUCGUAAAACUCUGUUAUUAGGGAAGAACAAAUGUGUAAGUAACUAUGCACGUCUUGACGGUACCUAAUCAGAAAGCCACGGCUAACUACGUG